rnacentral:lncRNA from 1 species
UCGUGAAAAAGAUUAAGGACUCUUACAUAGAAACAAGUUUCUAUGGGAGUUCCUAAUCUAUAAGACUCUCCGACUUUUGAGGGAAUCGGAGAGGAAAAACUUUAAUGAAAUACUCUAAGACCACAAUGUUCUUCUCCCUCGGGUUUAUGUAAGCUCCUUGUCCAAUAAACAAACUAGAUCUUUUGUUGUCACCUUCAGCUUUAAAAUCUCUUCUCAUACAUAUGCUA